rnacentral:rRNA from 1 species
UACGGAGGGUGCGAGCGUUGUCCGGAAUCACUGGGCGUAAAGGGCGCGUAGGCGGCCUGAUAAGUAGGGGGUGAAAUCCUGCGGCUUAACCGCAGGGCUGCCUUCUAAACUGUCAGGCUCGAGCACAGUAGAGGCAGGUGGAAUUCCCGGUGUAGCGGUGGAAUGCGCAGAUAUCAGGAGGAACAUCCGUGGCGAAGGCGGCUCUCUGGGACGGUACUGACGCUGAGACGCGAAAGCGUGGGGAGCGAACAGG